rnacentral:rRNA from 1 species
GGGUGCGAUCAUACCAGCACUACAACACUGAAUUCC